rnacentral:lncRNA from 1 species
AACAGCUCAGCGCUAAAAAACGACGCUCAGCGAUUUGCCAAAAAACCGCUCAGCGCCCAAAACCACCGCUCAACGCUCUGGUCAACUGGUUGACUUUUCUGGUUGACUGGUUGACUUUUCUGGUUGGCUGUUAACUUUUCUGCAUUAUAUUUGACUUUUCUGCACUGCAACCCUUGGUACUUCAACCUUUCUUUUAAUUCAUUCCAAAAACCUACAAAAUCAAGAGAAUUUAAUGACAAAAUCAUAAAACAUGUCC